AAAGAGGAUUCGUCCAAUUGAAGCAGAGGACAGUGGCGGACGGGUGAGUAACGCGUGAGGAACCUGCCUUUCAGAGGGGGACAACAGUUGGAAACGACUGCUAAUACCGCAUAACAUAUAGAUGUCGCAUGGCAUUUAUAUCAAAGAUUUAUCGCUGAAAGAUGGCCUCGCAUCUGAUUAGCUAGUUGGUGAGGUAACGGCCCACCAAGGCGACGAUCAGUAGCCGGACUGAGAGGUUGACCGGCCACAUUGGGACUGAGAUACGGCCCAGACUCCUACGGGAGGCAGCAGUGGGGAAUAUUGGGCAAUGGGCGCAAGCCUGACCCAGCAACGCCGCGUGAAGGAAGAAGGCUUUCGGGUUGUAAACUUCUUUUAAGUGGGAAGAGCAGAAGACGGUACCACUUGAAUAAGCCACGGCUAACUACGUGCCAGCAGCCGCGGUAAUACGUAGGUGGCAAGCGUUGUCCGGAUUUACUGGGUGUAAAGGGCGUGCAGCCGGGCAUGCAAGUCAGAUGUGAAAUCUCAGGGCUUAUCCCUGAAACUGCAUUUGAAACUGUAUGUCUUGAGUGCCGGA
rnacentral:rRNA from 1 species